rnacentral:rRNA from 1 species
GAUGAACGCUGGCGGCGUGCCUAAUACAUGCAAGUCGAGCGAACAGACGAGGAGCUUGCUCCUCUGACGUUAGCGGCGGACGGGUGAGUAACACGUGGAUAACCUACCUAUAAGACUGGGAUAACUUCGGGAAACCGGAGCUAAUACCGGAUAAUAUAUUGAACCGCAUGGUUCAAUAGUGAAAGACGGUUUUGCUGUCACUUAUAGAUGGAUCCGCGCCGCAUUAGCUAGUUGGUAAGGUAACAGCUUACCAAGGCAACGAUGCGUAGCCGAUCUGAGAGGGUGAUCGGCCACACUGGAACUGAGACACGGUCCAGACUCCUACGGGAGGCAGCAGUAGGGAAUCUUCCGCAAUGGGCGAAAGCCUGACGGAGCAACGCCGCGUGAGUGAUGAAGGUCUUCGGAUCGUAAAACUCUGUUAUUAGGGAAGAACAAAUGUGUAAGUAACUAUGCACGUCUUGACGGUACCUAAUCAGAAAGCCACGGCUAACUACGUG